UUGAAAGGGAAACGAUUGAAGUCAGUCGCACCUUCGGGUAAUCAGCCUUUCGGGUGCGAUUCUGUGGGGUGUGAAGAGUUAAACGCCUUCACGUUUUGCAUAUUCGUGCUCUUGGGUGUACUUGCCCGUGUGGUUGGUUAACAUCAAUUUUGGACGCCAUAAAAUGACUGGAGGAAUGUAGCUUCGAUCUCGUAUUGAAGUGUUAUAGCCUUCGGUAGAUGUGGUUUUCGAGAUUGAGGAUUGCAACGGAUACCCUUCGGGGCUACCUAUCUGAUCUCUGAUCGUUGCUCUGGUGCCGAAAGCUUGCUUACGGUUAUCAAAGUCGAUGGUCAAUAUGUUAGAAUGGGUUAAAUUCGUUAAGGAUGUUGACGU
rnacentral:rRNA from 1 species